rnacentral:rRNA from 1 species
AGAGUUUGAUCCUGGCUCAGGAUGAACGCUGGCGGCGUGCCUAACACAUGCAAGUCGAGCGAUUCUCUUCGGAGAAGAGCGGCGGACGGGUGAGUAACGCGUGGGUAACCUGCCCUGUACACACGGAUAACAUACCGAAAGGUAUGCUAAUACGAGAUAAUAUGCUUUUAUCGCAUGGUAGAAGUAUCAAAGCUCCGGCGGUACAGGAUGGACCCGCGUCUGAUUAGCUAGUUGGUAAGGUAACGGCUUACCAAGGCGACGAUCAGUAGCCGACCUGAGAGGGUGAUCGGCCACAUUGGAACUGAGACACGGUCCAAACUCCUACGGGAGGCAGCAGUGGGGAAUAUUGCACAAUGGGCGAAAGCCUGAUGCAGCAACGCCGCGUGAGCGAUGAAGGCCUUCGGGUCGUAAAGCUCUGUCCUCAAGGAAGAUAAUGACGGUACUUGAGGAGGAAGCCCCGGCUAACUACGUGCCAGCAGCCGCGGUAAUACGUAGGGGGCUAGCGUUAUCCGGAAUUACUGGGCGUAAAGGGUGCGUAGGUGGUUUCUUAAGUCAGAGGUGAAAGGCUACGGCUCAACCGUAGUAAGCCUUUGAAACUGGGAAACUUGAGUGCAGGAGAGGAGAGUGGAAUUCCUAGUGUAGCGGUGAAAUGCGUAGAUAUUAGGAGGAACACCAGUUGCGAAGGCGGCUCUCUGGACUGUAACUGACACUGAGGCACGAAAGCGUGGGGAGCAAACAGGAUUAGAUACCCUGGUAGUCCACGCCGUAAACGAUGAGUACUAGCUGUCGGAGGUUACCCCCUUCGGUGGCGCAGCUAACGCAUUAAGUACUCCGCCUGGGAAGUACGCUCGCAAGAGUGAAACUCAAAGGAAUUGACGGG